rnacentral:rRNA from 1 species
UACGAAGGGGCUAGCGUUGCUCGGAAUCACUGGGCGUAAAGCGCACGUAGGCGGAUUGUUAAGUCAGGGGGUGAAAUCCUGGAGCUCAACUCCAGAACUGCCUUUGAUACUGGCGAUCUCGAGUCCGGGAGAGGUGAGUGGAAACUGCGAGUGUAGAGGUGAAAUUCGUAGAUAUUCGCAAGAACGACCAGUGGCGAAGGCGGCUCACUGGCCCGGUACUGGA